rnacentral:rRNA from 1 species
UAAAGAAAGCGUAAUAGCUCACUGGUCGAGUCGGCCUGCGCGGAAGAUGUAACGGGGCUAAACCAUGCACCGAAGCUGCGGCAGCGACACUAUGUGUUGUUGGGUAGGGGAGCGUUCUGUAAGCCGUCGAAGGUGUGCUGUGAGGCAUGCUGGAGGUAUCAGAAGUGCGAAUGCUGACAUAAGUAACGAUAAAGCGGGUGAAAAGCCCGCUCGCCGGAAGACCAAGGGUUCCUGUUCAACGUUAAUCGGAGCAGG